CGAACGGACCCUUCGGGGUUAGUGGCGGACGGGCGAGUAACACGUGGGAACGUGCCUUUUGGUUCAGAACAACUCAGGGAAACUUGAGCUAAUACUGAAUAAGCCCUACGGGGGAAAGAUUUAUCGCCAUUAGAGCGGCCCGCGUCUGAUUAGCUAGUUGGUGAGGUAAAGGCUCACCAAGGCUACGAUCAGUAGCUGGUCUGAGAGGAUGAUCAGCCACACUGGGACUGAGACACGGCCCAGACUCCUACGGGAGGCAGCAGUUAGGAAUCUUGCGCAAUGGGCGAAAGCCUGACGCAGCCAUGCCGCGUGAAUGAUGAAGGUCUUAGGAUUGUAAAAUUCUUUCAGUGGGGAAGAUAAUGACUGUACCCACAGAAGAAGCUCCGGCUAACUUCGUGCCAGCAGCCGCGGUAAUACGAAGGGGGCUAGCGUUGCUCGGAAUUACUGGGCGUAAAGGGCGCGUAGGCGGACAGUUCAGUCAGGGGUGAAAGCCCGGGGCUCAACCUCGGAAUUGCCUUUGAUACUGGCUGUCUUGAGUACGGGAGAGGUGUGUGGAACUCCGAGUGUAGAGGUGAAAUUCGUAGAUAUUCGGAAGAACACCAGUGACG
rnacentral:rRNA from 1 species